UUACAUAGAAGGUGAACUUAAAAUAACAAUAUCAAAUGCGUUAGGAAGCGCAACACAAUGUCAAAGGAAAAAAAAUCAAAUAAAAGAAGACACAAUUCAGACUGGGAACGGGAAGAUUGGACUCAUGGUUGGCUUAAACCUAUAAAUUUUGCCCCAUAGGCCUUUCGUGAAGCCAAUGACAGUUCGACAGAUUUACCGUGGUGUGCACUUUAUUCUCAAAAAAAAAAAAAAAAAAUUAAAAAAAACAUAGUGAAUCAACGAAACAUAAAACCAAAUUUGCUUCACUUUUUGCAAAAAAUACUUUGCAUACUUAUGGUAUCGUUUGUGACAAACCCGAAGAUAAAAUAAUAGACAUAAAACUGGCAAUUUUCGCAGCGACUCAUACUUCUAUUUCAAGCAUUGAUCAUCUAACAGAGAUGUUAAAAACACUAUCCAUUAAAGAGUUCGAAAAAUUGAAGUUGCACAGAACAAAGUGCAGUGCAAUAAUAAAGCGUAUUUAUUGGAGGGUUUGCUUGCAUAUAUUGAUAAAGUUGGAUUAAACCAGAAAAACAUAUUAGCUACUGGCACAGAUAGUGCCAACAAUUUAUGUGGUACUCGCAAAGGUGUAUAUGGAUUAAUGAAAUUAUCAUAUCCACAAUUGAUUCUGGUAAAAUGUAUUUGCCAUUCCUUGCAUUUGUGUUGUUCCCAUGCUUCGAAAAUUUUUCCAGGCGAAGUACAAUAUUUAAUAAAAGAGCUAUACAACUACUUCAGCAAUAGCACUUUGCGCAUUAUAAAGAACAAACGUGCCUUUGACCUAAUAAAUACGGGUUGUGACGUAAUCAAAGUUAGGAAGCUGGUAAAAAUUGCAGGAUGGUUGUCUUGUGGUUCGGCUAUAGAAUGUGUUUUACAUCAAUGGAUAGAAUUAAAGUACCAUUUUUCAAUUAUUUCAACCACUGAGGGGGAAUUGACAGCAAAAUGAUAAAUGAACUUAUGGGUAAUGACAAGAUAAAGUUGUAUUUGAUUUUUAUGUAUUAUUAAUGUUAAUGUUUCAUUUCAAAAUGACAAAAUGGAUCCUGGAACGGCAUAUGACAAAUUACUUCUAUGCAUUUUUUUGUUGUGCACACAAAUUUUAGAACUAUGGGCAAUUGAAACUGUGAAGGAGGAAUAUGACGUUGAUAGAAUACUGGAAGUUAUAUAUGAUGAUUCAUCAUAUUUACCAUUAGAAUCAAUGGAUUUAGGGUAUGAUUUUG